rnacentral:rRNA from 1 species
GAUGAACGCUGGCGGCGUGCCUAAUACAUGCAAGUCGAGCGAACAGACGAGGAGCUUGCUCCUCUGACGUUAGCGGCGGACGGGUGAGUAACACGUGGAUCACCUACCUCUAAGACUGGGAUAACUUCGGGAAACCGGAUCUAAUACUGGAUAAUAUAUUGAACCGCAUGGUUCAAUAGUGAAAGACGGUUUUGCUGUUUCUUAUAGAUGGAUCCGCGUCGGAUUAGCUAGUUGGUAAGGUAACGGCUUACCAAGGCGACGAUGCGUAGCCGACCUGAGAGGGUGAUCGGCCACACUGGAACUGAGACACGGUCCAGACUCCUACGGGAGGCAGCAGUAGGGAAUCUUCGGCAAUGGGCGAAAGCCUGACGGAGCAACGCCGCGUGAGUGAUGAAGGUCUUCGGAUCGUAAAGCUCUGAUAUUAGGGAAGAACAAAUGUGUAAGUAACUAUGCACGUCUUGACGGUACCUAAAGAGAAAGCCACGGCUAACUACGUG